GGAAGAUGGUUGAGCUAAUUAACCCUGACUGCACUCCUCGAAGGACUGAGACCACUUGUAGAUUUUUUCACUCCUUAAAGGUCUUAUCUGAGAUCAAGGAGGAUUGGAAAUUCAAGAAAGACAAAAGAAUCGAGCAUCUACCUCAGUUAUGCCAUAAGCUGGUGAACAUUGGUUAGAAAUAAAAAGACAAAAUGCUUAUAACGUCCUGAUUUGCAUUCCCCUCUGCCUGCUGAAAGAAUGUGAAAAAAGAAUAAUAGAGCAACUGUAUUUACAUAAAGUAUGCAGCAAGAGCAUGAUAUAACUUCCAGUGGAAAGAUAACUAUUGAUUCCAGUGGGUUUGG